CAGUAGCCGCGGGAAUACGUAGGGUGCGAGCGUUAAUCGGAAUUACUGGGCGUAAAGCGUGCGCAGGCGGUUGUGUAAGACAGGUGUGAAAUCCCCGGGCUUAACCUGGGAACUGCGCUUGUGACUGCACAGCUAGAGUAUGGCAGAGGGGGGCGGAAUUCCACGUGUAGCAGUGAAAUGCGUAGAGAUGUGGAGGAACACCGAUGGCGAAGGCAGCCCCCUGGGCCAAUACUGACGCUCAUGCACGAAAGCGUGGGGAGCAAACAGGAUUAGAUACCCCCGUAGUCCCUGUCUCUUAUAC
rnacentral:rRNA from 1 species